CCUACGGGUGGCAGCAGUGAGGAAUAUUGGUCAAUGGGCGUAAGCCUGAACCAGCCAAGCCGCGUGAGGGAUGAAGGUUCUAUGGAUCGUAAACCUCUUUUAUAAGGGAGUAAAGUGCGGGACGUGUCCCGUUUUGUAUGUACCUUAUGAAUAAAGAUCGGCUAACUCCGUGCCAGCAGCCGCGGUAAUCCGGAGGGUCCGAGCGUUAUCCGGAUUUAUUGGGUUUAAAGGGUGCGUAGGCGGUAUUUUAAGUCAGCGGUGAAAGCCUGUGGCUCAACCUUGGAAUUGACGUUGAAACUGGGAGGCUUGAGUCUGGUUGAGGGAGGCGGAAUGCGUGGUGUAGCGGUGAAAUGCUUAGAGAUCACGCAGAACCCCGAUUGCGAAGGCAGCCUGCCAGGCCAUGACUGACGCUGAUGCACGAAAGCGUGGGGAGCAAACAGGAUUAGAUACCCCAGUAGUC
rnacentral:rRNA from 1 species